rnacentral:rRNA from 1 species
UACGGAGGGUGCGAGCGUUGUCCGGAAUCACUGGGCGUAAAGGGCGCGUAGGUGGCUUGGCAAGCGUGUGGUGAAAGCCCGGGGCUCAACCCCGGGUCUGCCGUGCGAACUGCUAUGGCUUGAGCACUGUAGAGGCAGGUAGAAUUCCGGGUGUAGCGGUGGAAUGCGCAGAUAUCAGGAGGAACACCAAUAGCGAAGGCAGCUCGCUGGGACGGUACUGACGCUGAGGCGCGAAAGCGUGGGGAGCGAACAGG